AAAUUGAAGAGUUUGAUCAUGGCUCAGAUUGAACGCUGGCGGCAGGCCUAACACAUGCAAGUCGAACGGUAACAGGAAGCAGCUUGCUGYUUUGCUGACGAGUGGCGGACGGGUGAGUAAUGUCUGGGAAACUGCCUGAUGGAGGGGGAUAACUACUGGAAACGGUAGCUAAUACCGCAUAACGUCGCAAGACCAAAGA
rnacentral:rRNA from 1 species